AGCAGUCUAAGCAGAGAUGCCCAGACAUCCCUCUCCCUAGACACUUCCUCCAGCUCUUCCGGGGGGUGUGAGCUGAGACACACAACGGGGACACCGUCUGUGCUGCAAUACUCUUGAUCUCUUACCUGUUCCAUGAAAAUCCAGACAGGCUCUAUGUAAUUGACAAGUGUGCUUUUCAUUGAUGACAAAGGCUCCUACCCCUGUGGUGCUGGUGAGUGGGAACCCCUUCAGUGCUGAAUGUGAAAUUUGUCUUCACAUAGUUGGAAAGGACAUUGCGAAGGUCAAGGACAUCUCAAUGGGAGUUGAUGCCCUACUGGGGAUCUAUUUAAUCUUUGGAGUUAAAUACUCAGAGAAUGUAAAGAAGAUUCAAAUGUUUAUGCAGUGCAUGGUUGGUAUCAAGUAAAAGUACCAAUAGGGGUAAUUAAAAUGUC